GCGCAAAGGAGGAGGAGCCACUUGCCCAGCUUCGUUUCUGUACGCUACUUGUCACUGAUCUGCAAUCCACGCAAUAAAGCGUAAACCUGGAAAACAACAGACUCGAUUCGUGAAUGGAUUUUAAUACUAACUUCGUGACAUUGUAAUGUGCCGUGCGGAAGACUAUUGAAGUUUCUCAGCCAUUUUAAUUGGUUGGGAUGGACAUUAUUGGGAAACCUACUGAAACCAACAGCGGACAUCGGUAUAUUUGUGUUUUCAUUGACUAUUUCACAAAAUGGCCACAAGCACACCCUUUGAGGUCGAAAUCAGCCAAGGAUGGGACAAACUGUCUCAUAAAAUUUGUCCACCAGUUCGAAGCACCAAAAAGGAUUCUCAGUGACCAAGGCAAAAAAUUUGUCAAUUCUCUCAACAGAAGGGUAUGCAGAUUGUUAAACAUUAAAAGAAGCCUCUGCUCGUUCUAUCACCCACAAACAAUGGCUUGGCGGAGAGAAUGAAUGGCACCAUUCAGAGAGGCCUCUGUAAGGUUGUUGGUGACCAUCCAGAAUUGUGGGAUGAGUAUCUGGAUGCUGUGAUGUUUGGACCUUGGAACUAAAAAGCAAAUGACCACCAAAUCCUCACCAUAUUACCUGAUAUUUGGCAGAGAGGCUCAUUAUCCAGCCGAAAUCCCAGAAGAGUAUAUGUGAGGCGGUGGAGAGGGUGACUGUGACCGAGGACCUGUCCUGGG